UACAGCCGCAUCACGUUGAAAACACCGUUUCUCAUACGAUCAUCGAACUUAAGCAACGUCGGGCCUGUUCAGUAACUAGAUAGGUAACUGCUUGAGAAUACCAUGUUCUGUA